rnacentral:rRNA from 1 species
GACGAGGUGCACAAACGUUAUUCGGAUUUACUGGGCUUAAAGCGUGCGUAGGCGGCUUGGCAAGUUGGGUGUGAAAUCCCUCGGCUCAACCGAGGAAUUGCGCCCAAAACUGCUGAGCUGGAGUGAGACAGAGGUGAGCGGAACUGAUGGUGGAGCGGUGAAAUGCGUUGAUAUCAUCAGGAACACCGGUGGCGAAGGCGGCUCACUGGAUCUCUACUGACGCUGAGGCACGAAAGCUAGGGGAGCAAACGGG